CACGCUGUAAACGAUGAAUACUAGGUGUUGGGUUUUUAACUCAGUGCCGCAGCUAACGCAUUAAGUAUUCCACCUGGGAAGUACGAUCGCAAGGUUGAAACUCAAAGGAAUUGACGGGGG
rnacentral:rRNA from 1 species